rnacentral:rRNA from 1 species
GUGGGGAAUAUUGGACAAUGGGCGCAAGCCUGAUCCAGCCAUACCGCGUGGGUGAAGAAGGCCUUCGGGUUGUAAAGCCCUUUUGUUGGGAAAGAAAUCCUAUCGGUUAAUAACCGGUGGGGAUGACGGUACCCAAAGAAUAAGCACCGGCUAACUUCGUGCCAGCAGCCGCGGUAAUACGAAGGGUGCAAGCGUUACUCGGAAUUACUGGGCGUAAAGCGUGCGUAGGUGGUGGUUUAAGUCCGUUGUGAAAGCCCUGGGCUCAACCUGGGAAUUGCAGUGGAUACUGGAUCACUAGAGUGUGGUAGAGGGAUGCGGAAUUUCUGGUGUAGCAGUGAAAUGCGUAGAGAUCAGAAGGAACAUCCGUGGCGAAGGCGGCAUCCUGGGCCAACACUGACACUGAGGCACGAAAGCGUGGGGAGCAAACAGGAUUAGAUACCCUAGUAGUCC